GUCUUUUGAGUACCUUCGUUUCCUCGGCGGGUCCGCCCGCCGAUUGGACAAUUUAAACCAUUUGCAGUUGCAAUCAGCGUCUGAAAAAACUUAAUAGUUACAACUUUCAACAACGGAUCUCUUGGUUCUGGCAUCGAUGAAGAACGCAGCGAAAUGCGAUAAGUAGUGUGAAUUGCAGAAUUCAGUGAAUCAUCGAAUCUUUGAACGCACAUUGCGCCCCUUGGUAUUCCAUGGGGCAUGCCUGUUCGAGCGUCAUUUGUACCUUCAAGCUCUGCUUGGUGUUGGGUGUUUGUCUCGCCUCUGCGCGCAGACUCGCCUCAAAACAAUUGGCAGCCGGCGUAUUGAUUUCGGAGCGCAGUACAUCUCGCGCUUUGCACUCAUAACGACGACGUCCAAAAGUACAUUUUU
rnacentral:rRNA from 1 species